rnacentral:tRNA from 1 species
ACGGGUGUAGCUCAAUUGGUAGAGUUGCGGUCUCCAAAACCGUCGGUUGGGGGUUCGAGUCCUCCCACCCGUG